UCGCGUCACGUAUUUUUUUUAUCAUAUCAAACGUAUGCUAACAGUCGGCGUGACGGGACGGGACGGGACGAGACGAGACGAGACGAGACGUGUGUCUCGGCGAACGAACGCGGUCGCGGCUCUGCGGCAAGGAAUUCGUUUUGCUGCUCGUGUGAAGUAGUCUCGUCUCAACCCCUCGCCGUAAGAACUACCCCGUGGCGAGGUGACGUCUGGCGGCGAAAUAAGGAACGAGGGAACGAACGAGUGGAGAAAAGGAAUUUUGUAUGACGUUAAGUCCGUAUGAAACCCACGUCGUUGCACUGGGUAUAGCGUCCGGAUUUUGCACAACAAUGCAACUGGGAUUUGCACUGCGAACGAGUUUUUACUGUCAUCAGUCAUCAGGCAAACGGUCGACGGGGGUGAGCACAGAGCAGAGCAGCCAGAGCCGUACUUUUAAGCACAAGAGUGGGGGUUCUGGAUCAAUGCCGAGGCCACGCCUCCUUCGUCUUACAUCUUGCACCCCGUACUACCCCCCAAGCAUCCUGGGCACCUUCCUUUCCUUUUGCUUUUCCACCCUCUUCCCUAUCUUCAUAUCCCGCGGAAAAUCCGCCCAGGGCAUGCAAAUAUAUCAAAGGAUUAAAAACUAUAUGAUGUAUGAAGACUUUGUACUAAUAAUGCAAUCGAUAGCGUAAUAAUCAAAAAGAUAUUAAAUAGCUGCAGCUCCUGUUGAAGAUUUAGAAAUAUAUCUUGAAAAAUAUAUUUAUAAAAAAUAAUAUUG